UGAACCGAGGGAAGAGUCCUGAGGCUUUGUCUGCAACCGGUAUCACAGCUCAUGGAACCGCAUUCCUUUCUACAGAGCGCCCAGGAGAUAAAAAGUCUUACGCAAAGUGGGAGAGGGAAUAAGUGAAAAAUUCACAUGCCUCCGGAUGUGAUGGCCAAAAAAAAAGGACUUUGAAAACUACUUGCAAUUGAACCGAGACUGGGCUGACGUACGCUGCAUUUCCAGGCAUUUGUGGGAUACAACCGUCUGAGUCUCAUCCUACGGAGGAGAAUCCAGUAUCAUCAAGAGGAGAAGAAACCAGUAAAGCCACAGGAAGCCACAUCCCAAGCAGGUGCAGAUCGAUGCAGUUCACCAAGGAUAAUGGAUUUACAUGGGCUAGGACCUGAUCCGGAAAAAAGAAAAAUGCCGUCUCUCUGUGCCAGGCACAAAGCGUUGGGUUAAGAACUGGAGAACUGGUUUUGAAAGGGCAGAUCAAACCAAAGCAGACGCGAA